UUGGUUAAGUUAGAAAGGGCGCACGGUGGAUGCCUUGGCACUAGGAGCCGAAGAAGGACGGGACUAACACCGAUAUGCUUUGGGGAGCUGUACGUAAGCGUUGAUCCAGAGAUUUCCGAAUGGGGGAACCCACUAUCUUUAGUCGGAUAGUAUCCUUACGUGAAUACAUAGCGUGAGGAAGGCAGACCCAGGGAACUGAAACAUCUAAGUACCUGGAGGAAGAGAAAGAAAAAUCGAUUUCCUGAGUAGCGGCGAGCGAAACGGAAAGAGCCCAAACCAAGAAGCUUGCUUCUUGGGGUUGUAGGACACUCUAUACGGAGUUACAAAAGAAAGUUAUAAAUGAAGCGGUCUGGAAAGGCCCGCCAAAGACGGUAACAGCCCGGUAGUUGAAAUGGCUUUCCCUCCAGAGUGGAUCCUGAGUACGGCGGAACACGUGAAAUUCCGUCGGAAUCCGGGAGGACCAUCUCCCAAGGCUAAAUACUCCCUAGUGACCGAUAGUGAACCAGUACCGUGAGGGAAAGGUGAAAAGCACCCCGGAAGGGGAGUGAAACAGUUCCUGAAACCGUGUGCCUACAAGUAGUUAGAGCCCGUUAAUGGGUGAUAGCGUGCCUUUUGUAGAAUGAACCGGCGAGUUACGAUUUGUUGCAAGGUUAAGCGGAAAAAGCGGAGCCGUAGCGAAAGCGAGUCUGAAUAGGGCGCAUAAGUAACAGGUCGUAGACCCGAAACCAGGUGAUCUACCCAUGUCCAGGAUGAAGGUAAGGUAAUACUUACUGGAGGUCCGAACCCACGCACGUUGAAAAGUGCGGGGAUGAGGUGUGGGUAGCGGAGAAAUUCCAAUCGAACUUGGAGAUAGCUGGUUCUCUCCGAAAUAGCUUUAGGGCUAGCCUCGAGGUAAAGAGUCAUGGAGGUAGAGCACUGUUUGGACUAGGGGCCCUUCUCGGGUUACCGAAUUCAGAUAAACUCCGAAUGCCAUGUACUUAUACUCGGGAGUCAGACUGCGAGUGAUAAGAUCCGUAGUCGAAAGGGAAACAGCCCAGACCACCAGUUAAGGUCCCCAAAUAUAUGUUAAGUGGAAAAGGAUGUGGGGUUGCUUAGACAACCAGGAUGUUGGCUUAGAAGCAGCCACCAUUGAAAGAGUGCGUAAUAGCUCACUGGUCGAGUGACCCCGCGCCGAAAAUGUACCGGGGCUAAACAUAUUACCGAAACUGUGGAUGAACCUCUUUAGAGGUUCGUGGUA
rnacentral:rRNA from 1 species